CCGGUCCGUACUGCCAGCUGUCGCCGGGAUCAACUUGGUGUUGGUAGGUUUCCUGGAAAUGGCUUCAGGAGCAGUAAAGGAGCCCACCUCCUAGCUCACCCUUUCCUUCAUUGACUGACUAUUCAUUGUCUGGACACGUCUCUGUGAACUCAGCCCCCUGCUGUUUUUCCUUUGCCGUCUCUUCUUUCACUGCAUCCUGGCCAAAAGUGCACCCUAUUUUCUGGGUUCCUCCCUUUCCUCCCAGGAAGAGCACAAGAGACCUGGUCAUGGUGGUUGAUCUUCUGACACCUUGGCCUCAGGAGUCAGUAACAUUUGAAGAUGCUAGCUGUGUAUGUCUUAGAGGAGAAAGAAGGGCAACUGGACCUUACUCAGAGGAGGCUCUACAGGGAUGCAGUGCUGGAGAAUUAUGGGAAUAUAACCUCAUUGGGU